CCCCUUUCCACCACCCACCUCACCCACCUCAUCUCCCCCCUUUUAUCACCCACCUCAUCUCCCCCCUUUUAUCACCCACCUCGCCCCCCUUCCACCGCCCCCUUGGCCCAAGAGUAUAUUUCUGAGGUGGGACUCAAAUGUCAAUCAUGCCACCUUGCAGGGCUGAAUUUUGUAGAAAUGUAUUUCCUUUUUUUCUUCUCAUUUUAUAUAAAGCAAACAUAUGAAACCUCAUGGCGCACAUAUGAACUGUAAGACGCAGGCAGCAUCGGCUGGCUGGAGGCUGACAGACAGCCACAGAGCAGAGAGCACUGGACUAGUCAGCCGCCGCCGGACAACUGCCCAUCUGGCACUAACAACAUACAAACAAACCUACUACUACUACGACAAUAAACGGCUAAGCAAUCAGAGAGAGAAUGAACCGAAGUGAAUUUCUGAGCUGUGUUUAGAACUUGAACGUAACACAGAGUAUUAAGUGGGGGGUGUUAACAGGUGGCGAAGCUGCUACUCCAUGCAGAAGACUGCCCUUUAGUGGCCGUACCCCGGUAUCUUCCCCAUCCCAACCCUGCUCUCAGGCACUGGGAAAGUAUUGGCAGACUAGAAUGCAAAAUGCAAUCCUGUCCUCAAAAACACUGUCAAGGGACUCCACUUCUCUCAUUUGUCCCUGUGUGGGUGUGUGAUUAUGAGUCCCAUAAGAAUGCACAUGGACUGUUUUUAUUCUAUUUAUUUGGAAACCCAGUGAGGGGUGAAGAGAUGUGACUUGAGGAGAAGCCAUUUAUGAUUACCACAUUGAUGCUGCAGAGAAUAACGGAUUCAAAUCCACAAAAUGGUCGCCCAGCAUCGGCCUGGAACUUCUAUUAGCAAUAAUCACUAUUGAUUCUAAAGCUUUAUGUACACCAUUGUACGUGUUUUAUAGACUGUGUGGAUCUAUUAUUAAAAAAAAAAAACGUUUUUUUUUUUUAGUUUGGCUAAGAAAAUAUAUAUUUUUUCUCAGAUAUAUAAAUAUGUAUAAAACUGUGAAAUUAAUUGUGUAUAAUGGGUGAGUUUUAGGCUAGUUUUGCAUGUAAACUUUUUGUUCAAUUAAGGAUAAUUUCUUUUUUCUCUCGCUCUCAGGGUCUUUAUAAAAUGCAUAUUCAACACUUCAUUUUCCUGAGUUGCAAGAAGUUCUUCCAAGUCAUGAUUUUAUUUGUAAUGCUUAACUGUCAAUCACUACAUUUAGCACUUGAUUGUGAACUCAAAUCAGGAGAACAGAGAAAAUGAACUUGUGCUCAAAUCCCCGUGGUUGAAAGCGUAGUCCAGACUAUUUUCAUCAACCCAUAAACAAGGUGUUUUUCCUUUUUGUUUGUCUCCUUUUCAUUCUUCAUUUUUAUCCCUCACUUCAAAUUUCUGUCACCCUUGACCAUAUUAUCCUCUCUCGUUUUGAAGAGGAAAUCAAGUCGUGACUCUGUAAAAAAACAAUUAAAGUGGCUGUCUGUGUCACUGUCUGACGUUCUGACCCGUUGUGAAAGGGAACUUUGCGUCGCUGCUACGGCCACACCAGAACUGACCCCAUGAAAGGACCUGGAUCAGAACCUUCAACGUUAGCUACACUGCUCCCUCCCUUCUGGUAUUACGGCGCUUCAGAAUCAGAAAUGUAAGCUGUUCUGUAUUGAAAAAUUAAAGCAAUAAAGAUAUAUUAAGGAAAGGUGUGAAUCAAACUGGCCUGGUGGUGUUUUUUGUCUAGCCCAAACCAUCGAUCACUGGUACGUGUUUCACACUGUGUGGCCCAGUACAUGCUCUGCUUCGACAACACAUUUGACACAACAGUUGUGAUACCACAGUUUUGGCUUUACAAAAAUAAUGUACACAGCUGUUUUGGAGACACCUCACAAUGAUUUUUUUUGUAUCACAACCAUGGUGUCAAGUAUGUGUACAACCUGAUUACAUGGCGUCAAGGUUCAAACCGAGUCAGGCCGAGGUACUAUAUGUUGGGCUGGCCUGCUUACACAUCCACCAUAGUUGCUGGAACAGUGUGAAAAUAAAAUAUCCAAGCCAGCCAGCAUAUUACUUGAUUUAGCCUUAUCCUAUACUGUGAAUCAAGCAUGUGUGUCUUGUAAUCAUGAAUCCAUGAAUGUACGGCGCGAAGUGGCCAUACUCAGUCAGCAUUCACCCCAAAAAUGUAUUACUGUCUAGGGUCGUUCCACAAAAUGAGUCCCUUUUUGGGUAGUGUAACUUUUUGGGGUAGGUCAACAAAAAUGUUUUA
rnacentral:lncRNA from 1 species